rnacentral:tRNA from 1 species
GGGAAUGUAGUUAAAAAUAACAUUUAAUUUGCAAUUAAAAGGUAUCUAUGGAUCUUUCUCA